GGGACUGGCAUUCAGUGAGGCUGGGGGAGAAGCUUCCUAAAAGCAUUGCCCUUGAAAAGCAGGGCAUACCUAUCUGAUACUGAGGAUGUAGAAUGCAGUUUGGAGAUGCUUCCUAGCUACCUAAUCUUCCAAGGCAAACCAUGCACUCUUCAUCCUGAUAUUUGUGAUGCCUCCCUGGGCUACAUGACAGAGGGUGCACUGCAAAGGAUGUGAAGGAAAGUCACCACAGGGCAAAGGUGGAAACCCAGGGGCCUUUCCCCAGUGAGACUUUCUGGCUGUUCCUUUGGAACUUCCACCUGCUAGUUGCAGAUGUUUGCCACUGGAUGGGGCCCCAUGCUACGUGGGAACUGUUCAGGACUGUGGGUACUUAGUUCCAGCAGAGCUGGCUCCACCAGGGCACCAGGACUGCAGGCUUCUCAACUCCUGGCCUGGAGAGGCAGCUUCAGCAACCAGUGCCUGGGAAUCCACUAGCCCUUUCUCUGUGAGUCACGUGAGGGCAGAAUCUGCUCAAAGUCAGAGGGCUGGAGCAACCUGGAUUGUGCCAGAGUGAGGGCCCAGCUCACUGGAGGUCAGAGUAAGAGAGUCAAGGAUGGGAAGAAACAGGGUUUUGCUCAGUCUUGCAGAUACUGAGGCACUCAGGAGGCUCAGGAUGGCAGCAACAGGGCAUGUGCUAAACUUACCCUAGCCUCUUCCUUUUAGGCAGCCACCACAGAGGACAUCUGUUUGCCUCUGUACCCUACCCCAUCUCCAUGCUGGUAGAUAUAGUCUGGGGAUACCUUUAAAACAAACAAACAAACAAACAAAACAGGAUCUGUCUAUCACCUGUCCAAAUCCUGAAGCAAAAUGAGCCUUCUUUAUGGCCACCUUGGAAAGGCCUGAGUCCCCAGCAUCACCUGGGAUACAAAGUGUUCUGAGGUGGGGGCAGAGUGCCCUCCUGCCCAGAUGCCACACUCCACAAUAUCUCUUCCUGGCAGACAGGUUUCUCUUAACUUCCUUUGGCAAAUUUGGUUUCACUUCCUUUUGCAACUUUAGAACCUUUCUCAGGUCAGUCAUAAGGUAGUGGAGAAGCCAGGAUUUGAACCCAUUCUGUCUGAUUCCAGAGCUCAUGCAUUAACCACCUGACUGUGGUGCCUCCCCAUCAUAUGUGCAUCAAGUAUGAUCAUUUUUGUAGUUCUCAGAGUACUUAGCACCAUGCACAUCUGUAAUAAGUACAGCCACUGCCUACUGGGAGGUCUAAAGGUUCAACUCAUAAGGGACCCACAGGCCACACUGGGCUCCAGUCUCCUUAAAAGAUGUGGGACGGAGAUCAACAAUUGUCAGCAGAACCCCAUCAGGCAUUUGUCUUCUCACUGAGCCUUGCAGCAAACCACACAGCUGUCUAUAACCUAUCUGUUCCCAGAUUCAAGAACACAAGCUGCUCAUCAGUUGGGUGCAGGAUCCACUCUAGUACAAAAGCUGUGUGUCUCAAGGCAUAAUUCCUUAUGAUUACUUCAUAGCUCUGCUUUUGUCUUGAGACAAAAGAAAUUUCCUUCAAUUCCUACUUUUGCUGAGAUAUUGUUUUUUGAAAAGCAAUUAAAUCUUGUCAAUCACUUUUCCCACCUCUUUGAGAUACUUACAUGGCUUUUCUUCUUUAUUCUCUUAGUGUGGUAAAUUACAUUGAUUUAUUUUAAAUAUGAAACCAGCCUUGAAUUCCAGGAACAAACUCCAUUUGGACAUGCUAGAACAACCUUUUAUAUUUGUUUAGAUUUGAUUUCCUGAAGUGGUGUUAAAAGGUUUUCAUAUCUAUGUCUGUGAGGGAUAUUAAUCUGUACAUUUUUUUAUUACUAUUUUCUGGUGUUAUGGUAAUGCUAGUCUCAUAGAAUGAAUUAGGAAAAGUUGCCUCCUUCUGUAUUUUCUGAGAGUUUGUGUGGCACUGGUAAAAUAUUUUCUGUAUAUGUUUGACAUAAUUCACCAGGAAAAUUAUUUGUACCUACAAGUUCCCUCCUGGAAAGAUGUUGAUAAUCACUUAUUAUCCUUUCAUUGUCUGCCAGAUCUGUGGCAUUGCUUUUUUCUCUGGUAUUAGUAAUUUAAAUUUUCCCUUAUUUCUUGAUCAAUUUUGGCAGAGAUUUAUCAAUUUUAUUAAUCUCUUUUAAAAAUCUGUAUUGAGCUUUGUUAAUUUUCUCUAUUACAUACUUUUUAUUUCUACUCUUACGAUUGCUAUUUCUUUAUUUCUCCUUUGGAUUUAGCCCAUUUUUCUAUUUGUCUAAUUUUAGGAUUUAAAAUUCAAUCAUUAUUUUUAGAUAUUUUUAUUUUUAAAUAUAAACAUGAAAGUUGCAAUAUUACCUUGGGCACUGUUUUGACUGCAUUCCACAAGUUUUUAUUUGUCAUGUUUUAAUCACCAUUCAGUUCAAAAUACUUUCUAAUGCUCCUUGUUAUUUCUUCUUUGACCCAUUGGUUAUAUAAAAGUACGUUUUGCUUUAUUUCUAAAUAUGUGAAGACUUUCUAGAUAUCUCAGUUAUUUAUUACUAAUUUAAUUUUAUUGUAGCCAGAGAAAAUACACUGUAUGUGUUCAAUCUUUGGAAAUUUCUUGAGACUUAUUUUUUGACCCAGUAUGUUUGCCCUCAUGAACAUUCCAUAUUCACUAGAAAAAGAAUGUGUGUUCAAAUAAUGUUGGAUAUAGUGUUAUGCAAAUGCCACUAAAUCAAGAUAAAUCUUUUGCACUCUUGUUUUUUGCCUGCUUGUUCUAACAAUAAGUGAGAAAGAAGUGUUAAUAUCUCC
rnacentral:lncRNA from 1 species